AGUACCUGCGCAGAGAAUGCAAAGAUUUAAUUAUUCGUGGAAUCUGUAAUUAUAAUGAAGCUACACUUCGCUUGGGUAUGUGUUAAAUUUUCAUUAUAUAUGAAAAUAUUCAUGAAUGUUAAGUUGACCAAGAAAACGAGUAGAGGCAUAUGUGACAAAAAGAAACUUAACGUAUCCGAUUUGUAUCGAUUUGUAUCGUUAUGUACAACUUACAUACGCACUUCUCAUGAUAAAAAAUAUCUGAUAAGGCCACGAUAACCAUUGGAUAAAGUUGAGUUGGUUUUAUCGCAAAUUCGACAUAAUCGUAAUUUUUGCUAAUUAAGAUUCGGAAGAAGGAAAAAUUUCGAUGAAUGCGAGUAAGAUCGGUAACAGAAUAAUUUGGAUUUGAAACAGAUUGGUACAAUGAACCGAUUUUCAAGAUAAAUUCGGCGGAACGACGAUGAUACGCCAAAACGACACAAUGGCUCGACAGUUAUACGAAAAGCGGCGCGCACUGCCUAUUUAUACAAGUGUAUUUCUGUACAUUGGACACCUACCUAACUUGAAAGGAGUGUAAGGGUCGGCGAGGAUGCCAAAACAUAAUCACAAAGAGCUACGGAGAUACGCGCGAAACAAAGUCGACGAAGAGACGUUAGAAUUUCUUUGUAUCGCCGUGACUUUUUGCGCGCCGCGCUGGCGUGGCGCGAGCGAUAAACAUUACGCGUCACCGAUUACCCAUUGGACGACGUUCAGGCAUAUAUCGCGCGCACGCACGCACGCACGCAUUAAUUCGGCCUUGGCGCUCCACUGUUUAACGUCCCAGGAAACAGUGCGGGGCAUGGAACAAAAGCGCGUGUGCCGAGUGCACGCGACCUGGUUCACCUGGACUUGUACUGAUAAUCUCGAUAGCGUUUCACUUGCGAUCAUGUAAAAAAAAAAAAAGGGGGGGGGGGGGGAGAGCGAGAGAGCAGCCAACUGUAUCGCCACACAUGUGGUUCAUGAAUUAUCUAUAUCUCGACCAGAUUUUUUUUAUGACUUUUAUCCAGUUAUUUCCAACUCGAACUGACGACAGAGAGAUUUUUGGGAAAACCAAGAAACAAAUCAGAAAAGCAAUUGCUUAUCGAUGUCUUCUAAAAUAUGAAGAUUUAAGAAUGUCUCUAUCCAGGAUCGUCUACUUUCGUUAUGUAAAUCGAUUUCGGAAGGAACGAGAUUUAUCCGAACGAGAAUAUUAAAAACGGAUACUUAAACGUAUGCGUAUCGGAUGGCUUAGAUUGCGAUAAUAUAGAUUUAAAAAAAGAUCAGAAAAAACUCUCUUAUAACGUUGCGAACUCUUUGUUAAGAACAAGCGAGAUAAACAGAUCAGAGUUAUCAGAGAAUAAAGAGAUAUUCGAAAAAAAUAUAUCAUUUUUGAAUCUUAUUCGAUUUCUUCGAUGAUUUUUCAAGUUAAAAUGGAAAAAACAACACCGACCAAAUGGCAAAUUUGAUGACAACGCAUUCUUGCAAUUUUUUCCAUUUUUAAUAUCAGAUGACAUUUUAUUAAAUCUUAAGAGCAAACUUGUCUCUACUUGAAACAUUAUCUGCGAAAUAAACUGCAGUUGUUUAUCAACAGCGAUUAAUAACUGAAAAUGGUGUUAGUCAUCGUUCCAAACAAUUGCGCGCGUGGAAAAAGUCGCCUUGACAUUGAAAGAAUGUGCAGGUCGAAGGAAGUGACGAGACACCCAGCAUAAUUUUAUUCCGCAUUUUUUUCCUUUUUUUUUUCUUUUUGCGUAACCGAUUUGCUUAUGGCUCGCCUUCUCUUCGCUCUUCCUCCCGAUCGAAGUGACGCGCGUACGAAGAAGUGUAAACAUAAACGCGAUAAGUUAUCCUUCUAUCGUCCGCUAAAAACGCAAUAAGUAGAGCCUGUAUUCGACAUAUUGUGCGUUCAAUGUCGUGUCCGGCGAUCUAAACUUUAGCUUUAAUAAGUUUAACCCUUCAAGACAGAGUAGGAUGGAGAUCUGUCGGUGCGUUGUCAUUUGGAGUUUUACCUUUAUUACUUUUAACAAAUAAUAACUUUUUCCUUGAGAGAAAAAAAAUUUUUCACUUUUUCAUUUUGUUGAAAUUUAACUCAUUUCCUCCGGGUACAACAUUGUUUAUUACCAAGCGAUAGUUAAGAAAAUUAACGUGGUGACACAUUGGAAAAAAAACAUGUAUUAUAUUUUGUGAAUUCACAUUUACUUGACACUGUUAUCUUUACACGUAACAUAUAAUGAGUGUAAAAAGUCCGUACAGAAUAUUUUUUAAACCUUAUUUUUACAAAAUAAACAUUAAUUAGCAA
rnacentral:lncRNA from 13 species